UGUCCACCGCUUGCUCCGGAAAACCCUAUCCGCCCUCUCCCUCUUCUCGAUCCUCUGCUUCGAGGUGCCCAUCGACGACCACUGGUUACCGCCCGUGAAGCCAUCGUCUGGCAUCUACUCCUUCGCUCGGGGGAUGGGAAUGCCCUCCGAACCACAAUCCCGACAAGCUCCUCUCUGUUGCGAGAUUACUGCCACCACCUCCGCAAGGACAAGGGGAUCGAGAGCCUCAAUGUGGCCUGAGCCGAAGCUCUAGGGAGACGCUCAAGGCAGUGCAGUGGUGGAGCAGCUCAUCAUCACAGUGGCGCGGCUGGGGAGCACCAUCCUUCCGCUGAUCGUAGCCCUCCAGGUCGGAAAUUGGAAUGUAGAGGCCACCGCUGGAGUAGAUAGGGGAAGGUUUCCGACCGUGAGAAUUCCCUAUGCGUGGAGCACUCAAAGCAAUUACAGAGUUCGCCGUAGUGUCAUCGUUGAUGCAGUUGUACUGACGGGGGGGAGAAGGCACAGCUGCCUGCAUUACACAUCCCCAGGAGAGAUGCAGCAAUGCUGAAGAGAGAAGAUUAUCCACUGGCACAGCAUCCCUGCCUACCAACUUGAGCUUUAUCCGGUUGGACUGCAUGGGCACAGACAGUCAUAUGAAUUGUGAGCUCUAUCAUGACCGGUUAGCAUUUCUUCCUCUCCCUAAAUACGAAUCCACUAUACCUGAGGCCAAUUCAGAAUGAUUUCCAUGGAUUCAUUGAGCUGAAAACAGUGUAUCAUCGAGGGAUGGAUUGCGGGUCUUGUUACAUCCUGGUUUAAUCACAUUGGAUGUGUCGAAAAAUAUGAAUUGGAUUAUAAGAGUUCGAUGGAUGUACAAAAAUUAACUUUGACUUAAGCAUUCGGAGUCAGUAGUUUAAACUCAAUGAAAUUAAUAGAUCAAUGUUGAAAAUUUUGAAUUGGAUUAUAAGAGUUUGAUGGAUGGUACAACAAUUAACUUUGGCUUAAGCAUUUGGAGUCAGUAGUUUAAACUCAAUGAAAUUAAUAGAUCAGUUAUUCUAUUAAGGAUCCUGUCAAGUCGGAUCAUGAACUGGGUGUCUGGACAUAUAAACAGAGGUUUGAAAUGUUCAUGUUAGCCAAAGUCCGAUGCAACAGUUCGCCUUGAUUGUUAUUCUCUUCGAUGCUAUUUCCUUCACUUGAUAUGACAAAUUUCACAAAUCGAUGGUGCUACAAGUUUGGUCUUCUUUGACGCUUCUUCCCUUCUAUCACUGAAGGUAUGUAUCUGAUACUUUGACAUGCACUGGUGCAAUGCUAUGGAACAUACAAGAAAUACAUUACUAUGUUUUUUUUACUGCAAAUCACAUUAUGAUUAGCAGGUAAACACAUGAAAGCAAACAGAUACUUCAAACAAAAUUGAGAAGCUAGCUUAAGAAUUUUUAACUAAUAUUUAGAUUUGACUACAAUACUAAUUAAUUAUUUAUCUGGUCUCAUCUCAAACUUUUGUCAAGCAGGCUAGUGCAUCAAGAAAAAUCAAUCAGUUAAAAGUUAUGAUCAUGAUGGAUAUUUACCAUGUGACUUAUUUUUCAAACAUACUUGUAAUGCUUAGUAGCCUGUCAUAAAGCUUGCCUACCUCAUAAGCUACUGUUUAUUUGCUUUUUGUGUGAUGGUUAAAUUGUGCUGUGGUUUCAUGGAUACAAAUGAGACUUUAUUUUAGUUUGAGCAUGUUCUUCUACAAUCAUAUUUAGAUGAUCUGCUCAUGUAGAUUACAAGAAAUGAACUUUAUGUAGCCUUCCACAUAUCAAUCUAUCAUGAUUACGAAACAGGGAAAAAAGAUAUUUCUGGUUGUUUCUGUUGAAUCUCUCUAGAUAAGUCAUUGGCAUAGUAUAUGACUUUAUCCUAGCUCAUAUAAUGUUAUAACUCUAAAAGAUGCAGUGUGUUUUAUAUAAAUUCACUGAUCAGGAAAAUUAGAGACUUGAACAUAUGUUUUUAUCCUAAACAAAUUUAAUAGGAAGAAAAUAUGAUUUUGUUAAUGUCUUGAGCUAAUUCUGUAAGAAUCUUGGUCGCAUGCAUGGUAAGCAGAUGGUGACAAUUAAUGUAGAGGUUCCUUCACACUUGUUGUAGGCCAGAGGCAACCUCUUGUCUGAUGCUCAGUGUAGUUUCCCUCAUGACCCACUAAAAUUCUGCACAUAGAUUGGAUCCUUGUCCAUCAAAAAAUUCACUUGCAAUGCUAUUAUGCUGAAAGGUUUGGUGCAAAGUCUCAUCUGUAUAUUAUUAAAUAGGUUAAAGUCAUCUAGCAUUAUCAAGUCAACAGUUUGAUGAUCCUUUUGAACUAAUUUUAGAUAAGCUCUUUGAUCAUGGUAUGAUAGAUAGGAAUUUCAAUCAGCUCAAAAGUUCUAGGUUCUGGACCACCCACAACAUGUGAAUAUAUACUUACCGUGGCCCUCGAAAAGAUUGGGUAUUAUGCCAUUAUUUGCUAGGCACAAGAGUUCACUAGAUGCAAUAUGUUUUCUGGGGUUGCUGCAAUUGUAUUUUUUUACGACCUAGAUGUUGGCCUUUCUCCCAGGAAUACCAUGUACAUAUAGCAACUUAUUUCUGGCUGCUUGUUAAUUUUCAGAAGACAAAAUAAUAACAAAGAGAAAAAUGUGAUUAAAGAAAAAAGUUUACUCCAUGCCAUAUGUUUGAUGGAAUUGAUAGAUUAGGAAAAAUCACAUAUCAACAUUAUCUCCAAGAGAACAAUUUGUCAAGAAUAUAUGCCUCCUCUUCUUUGCUAGUUAUCUGCAUGAGUCUGCUUCUUUAAAGAUUAAAUAUCACAUUUUCCACAUGAAUCCCUUGACCUGCAACACAAUUCCAUUCUAGAAAAAGACAUCAGGGGGCUCCUUUUCCAAAGUUGUAAGAGCAAAUUUUCAUUCAUUGGGCUAAUACCAUGUGUGGUCUUAAUUUCCAAUGUGAAGUGAAUCUGAUUCUGCUCUCCUUGCUUCCUCUGAAACUUCAUUAGGUAAGACUUAGGAAGCUAAUCCCUGCAAAACCUUUAGCUCUAGGUAGAAUAUGGGACUUGAAAAGAUCAACCUGAAAGCCUUUCUAAAAGUUUAGGCUUGACCCAACUGGAAGAAUGACCUUGUUUGGUUACUUUUGUUUUAUUUAUCUUGGUGGGUUUUGUGCCUGCAAUCAGAUACUUGUAUGCCACCUUUACUUAAUUUUUUCUGUAAUGUCCUUUUACUUGAGAGUAAUGCUAUUUAGUAUGACUUGCCAAACACUGCUUGUGAAAUCAAUCUAUGAAAAUAAAAUUCAUGGUUGUUCUUAAGCUAAAUUAAUCAUCCACACUUGCUAUAUUAUCAUUUUGCUUGCAUGAAGAGCUACAUGCUGAGGGAAUAGACAUAUGUCAGAAUUGACUACUGAUGGUAUUGAGGAACCAAACUUGUUUUAUGCAUCCUCCUGUGUCAUCAUGAUGAGAACCUUCUCACUGGCCACAUGAGAUUUGACCAGUAGAUAAUUCCAAUAUUAGUUGGCAGCAUUUUCUUGUUAGGAAAAAGGAAUUAAUUAUCACAGGGAAGAAAGUUGACAACAUGGCUGCCACCUUCAUGGUGAUGUUAUAGUGUGAUCUGCUUCACCCACCACUGCAUGGUGAGUCGUACGUACAUAAAACCUAAAUUACUUGUGCCAAUCUUAAGAGUUAAAAGGCAUGGUAGAUUGAACCAACCAAAAUUACAAUUGAACCCUGUGCUUCAGCUGGUUUUUUCUUGCCAACCGGACUGAGAAAGGACUUCUACCCCUUCGUAGUCGCUGUUCCUUCCCUUGCGUGGGCCCCAAGUAACUGUUGCAGUCAUCAGUCUGGUAGAACCGACGGGUAUGAGUUGGCCGGGAAGGGUACUCAGCAUCUUACACGGUGCGGUUGCUUCGUGUGGUGCUCUCUAGUGGGUCCCAUGCGGCUUUUCCGGUAUUUUAGCGUGUACGGAACGGGUAUGAAGAGAAGAAGCGUGUGGGAGCUGAGAGGGGUAGCGGUGAAACGAACACGGUGGCGGUUGAUGAAUCAAUGGCGGCAAAAGCAGAGUCCAGAGAGGCGCCUCCUCAGCCACACGGCAGCGCCGGUGGGACCGCCACACUUCUCUGUUGUCUCUUCUCCUCCUUUCCUCCCUUCCCCACCUUUUUCUUCCAUCCGUCCGCGUCGCCAUCAUCCCCAACCUCCUCUCCCUCUUUUCUCCUCCUCCUCCUCCCUUCAUCGUCCGUCGAAACGUGAGAGGUGGUAGGGGAGAGAGAGUUCGAAAGGGAGAGGCAAGGAGGAGAAGAGGGUGAGAUGGAUAUGGUGUUGUGUGAUGAGCUGGUUCAGGAGAUCCUGCGGCGGCUGCCUCCCUCCUCCGCCCCGUCCGUCUCCCUCGUCUCCAAGCGUUGGCUCUGCCUCCUCCGCUCCUCCACCACCUCCCUCUCCCCCCGCAUCCCCCCACAUCAAACGACCCCGAUUAUUUCUCCGAGCAAUAAUUCGCCAUCACUCCCCUCCAUCCUCUCCCACUACCCCUUCCUCACCGACCUCACCGUCGUGGACGAGGACAACCCCGCCGACGACCUCCUCCUCGCCAUCGCCGCCGCCGCCUGCUCCUCCCGUCUCGCCCACCUGCGCUUCCUCCCGGCCUCCCCUCUAUCCCCUACCGCCCUACUCUCCUCCUCCACCGCCUUCGCUGGCCUCACUACUCUCCAAAUCGCCUCCCUCCUCCCCCUCUCCUUUCGCUGGCUCUCCUUCCUCCCCUCCCUCAAGUCCUUCUCCCUCGUCCGCUCCCGCUCCAAGCGCCCCCCCUCCCUUCGACAAGAAGCGCAACAGCUGCCGCCGGCUGCUGACGACGAUGGGGACCGGUCGGCCCUCAUGCUGCUGCCGCUGGAGAGCCUGUCUUUGUCUGGCAUCUGCGCCUCCGACCGCGGCCUCUCCUGGCUGUGGCGCCGCUGCGCCGGCCUCCGGUGGCUGCAGCUGCGCGCCUGCGAGGGAACCGGCGACGGCCCCUCCUCCCCCGUCUUCCCCCUCUGCCUCCCGGGUCUCCUCGUGCUCGAGCUCCGCACCUGCCGCGCUAUCGCCGACCGCGUCCUCCUCCACGCCGCCGACCACUGCCGCGCCCUCACCUCCCUUCUGCUCUACGACGGCGGCAGCCGCGACGCCCUUCACCACUUCAUCCACCGCCGCGGCGCCGCGCUCCGCACCCUCGACCUCCGCCUCCCGCUCGACCUCCACAACGACCACCUCUUCGCCAUCGCGGCCGACGACCGCGGCGACAGUGGCAAGCCUGGGGGCCACCGGCUCGCGGCGCUCCGCCUGCACAGCUGUUGCCUGGUCACAGGGGACGGACUCCGGUCGCUCGCCCGGUCUCCCGCUGGCGCGGCGAUCGAGGAGCUCGCCCUGGUGAACUGCGAUGUGGUGGAGAAGGAGUCCGGGCUGCUGACCUGCCUCAGCCAGAGCAUGCAGCGGCUGCGGAGGGUGGACUUGUCCCACAACGAGGGUUUGGCCGACAAGGAAGUGGGAUCGAUGCUGGCUUCUUGCAGGAAUCUGGUGGAGAUGAGGGUGAGGGGGUGCAGAGCACUGACGGGUGCUGCAUUGAGUUCCUUGCUGAAGCACUGUGGCAAGCAGGUGGAAGUCGUCGACAUCACUUGGUGCCCAGGAAUCGUCAGUGAUGCUGUUGAGAUGCUGGUCAUGAAUGCCUCCUGCCGAUUGAGGCAAUUGAUGGUCGAGGAAAACAAAGUCAAUGAAGCUGCUGCAGUUUGGCUGUCUCAGAAAGGGAUCAAGAUUGGUUGAUCAGAAGAAAGUUCUUCACAUGCCAGCAACAAAGAAGGGUACUCACUUUUAUCUAUAAGCUCUACAAGAAAUUAAUUGAUCUUUCUUUCUUGAAGUAACUCAGAUGAUUUGUAGUCAGUCACCUUAACAAAAUGUGAUGCAUCUAUAGUGCCACAUUCCAUGAACCCACCAUAUUUGCAUCUGCAUCUUAAGUUCCAGUGACUAAUUCAGGGAAUGCAGAUGGAUCCUCCCCAACCAAUUGAGGAGAGCAAAGUCAGGGAUAGAUGCUGUUUCAGAAAGGGAUUAAGAUUGGUUUGAUCAGAGAAAGGAGGAGCCGGCAGGCAUUAUACAAAUGUUCCGACGACAAAUGGGUAUAUUGCUUUAAUACUCCCCAAUGUGACCAAAUAGUCAAAAACACUUUGGUUCUCAUCCUAUCAAGACUGUUGAUGAAGGCAAUUAAUUUCAUGGUUUAGUUGAUGAAUGGGCCGAAAGUAAGUGGUCAUGUUCUUCCUUUCUUUCUCAUCACCUUCUCCCAGUUUAUGAUGCGCAUGUAUCAUCGAUAAAGAGAAGAUGGAAUGUAGUAUGGAUUCUAGUAUUAUUACGUCUUAUUUGAUAUGAUGAUAAAAAAAGUUAAAUGGA